rnacentral:rRNA from 1 species
GGACUGAGACCGGACCAGGUUCCUAAGGAAGGCAGAAGUAGGAAUUUUCACAAUGGCGAAGCUUGAUGGAAGCAACGCCGCGUGCAGGAUGAUGCCUCGAGUUGUAAACUGCUUUUAUUAUGUGACGAAUAUGACGGUAGCAUAUGAAUAAGGAUCGGCUAACUCCGUGCCAGCAGCCGCGGUCAUACGGAGGAUCAAGCGUUAUCCGGAAUUACUGGGCGUAAAAGAAGUUGCGUAGGCGGCAUAGUAAGCAGAUAGUGAAAGCGUGGUGGCUCAACCAUACUCACAUUAUCUGAACUGCUAAGCUAGAGGACGAGAGAGGUCACUGGAAUUCCUAGUGUAGGAGUGAAAUCCGUAGAUAUUAGGAGGAACACCAAUGGCGUAGGCAGGUGACUGGCUCGUUCCUGACGCUCAGGCACGAAAGCGUGGGGAGCAAACGGGAUUAGAUACCCCGGUAGUCCACGCCGUAAACGAUGGAUGCUAGCUGUUAGAGGUAUCGACCCCUCUAGUAGCGAAGCUAACGCGUUAAGCAUCCCGCCUGUGGAGUACGGUCGCAAGACUAAAACAUAAAGGAAUUGACGGGGACCCGCACAAGCGGUGGAGCGUGUUGUUUAAUUCGAUGGUAAGCGAAGAACCUUACCCAGGCUUGACAUCCUUGGAAGCACUGCGAAAGCAGCGUGUGCCUUCGGGAACCAAGUGACAGGU